rnacentral:rRNA from 1 species
ACUCCUACGGGAGGCAGCAGUGGGGAAUAUUGCACAAUGGGCGCAAGCCUGAUGCAGCAACGCCGUGUGAGUGAAGAAGGUUUUCGGAUCGUAAAACUCUGUCCUAAGGGAAGAAAAAAUAGACGGUACCUUAGGAGGAAGCCCGGCUAACUACGUGCCAGCAGCCGCGGUAAUACGUAGGGGGCAAGCGUUAUCCGGAAUCACUGGGGCGUAAAGGGUGCGUAGGCGGCUUAGCAAGCCAGGGGUGAAAGGCAUUGGCUCAACCAAUGUAAGCCUUUGGAACUGUUAAGCUUGAGUGCAGGAGAGGUAAGUGGAAUUCCUAGUGUAGAGGUGAAAUUCGUAGAUAUUAGGAGGAACACCAGUGGCGAAGGCGACUUACUGGACUGUAACUGACGCUGAUGCACGAAAGCGUGGGUAGCGAACAGGAUUAGAUACCCUGGUAGGUCAGUC